AACAAAAUGUCUGGUAGUGGGAGUUUCUUUCCAUUUUAGCUGCUUAUAAUUAAAUGACAAGCUCAUAUAGGUUCAUUAUAACCCCCUCUCUAUAAUUGGAGGAAGCUGUCUUAGAUUUAUGUUGUUAAUUGCUCAUGAGAGAGUCUCUUUUCCUACAAAGUCAGACUGAAGAGAGCAAGCUUCACUUCUGUGCAGCAAUGAGGCCAGAAUUUGGGAGCUCACACAGUCACGAUGUUACUCAAGUCUUUGUAUAUUUCAGUAAUUGGGCAGAAUGUACCAUCAUCUCCAAGUCAGGUUAUCAACACCGCUUGAAUGUCUAAUUUUCUGCUUGACUUUCUGUGGUGUGGAGGAACAGGAACUCGUCUCAUCAGCCCUCUUUCCUCAUGUCUCCAGCCAAACCAGUGUUCCUGGUCUUCUGCAGCCCUUGGGUGGCUCUGCUGUGCUCUUUGUUGGGCUCAGUGCUGCCAGAUGCCAGCAGCGAGGUGACCUGAAGAUGAAGCUUUUAACUUUUAUGGGCUGAGUAGCAAAUUUCCUGCUGCUUCUUAAAGACGGGAUCUAAUUUUGCCUGCCCUAAUUACAAUUAGCUUUGACACUGGGCACUUUCCCUGAUCACUUUGAUUAAGGAAUCAGUCCUCAUGAUUGUACAGUCACAUGUUAUUGAUGUAUGCCUGAUAAAAGCUUGCAGAGCAGAGGAGACUUCAUGUGUGCUGCAAUUCUCAAAAAACCUUUCACUGAUUCCCACCGUCCCUGAGUUUUUUGUCACAUUGACUUUCCAAGCAGCCCUCACACUUAGUGAAUUAUUUAGCUGCAGCUCAUAUAUGGUUCAGAGUGAUGACUCUGUAAAUUUAGCCAGCCAGUGUAGAGUUCACUGUGAGCUUUACCUAUGAGAAUAUACCAAAGCUAAACCAGCCUCUCUUCAGAAAAUGAAUGUAACCAAUGCUAUUUUUUUUCAUUUACUUUUUCCAUAAAAGAGUAACUCUUGACUGUGGUCAAAAUUCUGUGGUUGGUAUUUUGAACGAUUUUGGCCAGGUCUAGAGAUGGUGAAGCAGAAUUUAAAUCUUUCUUGCUCUUCAGUUUGAUCCAGUGAGUUGUUGAGAUCAACAGUAGUUGGUUCAGAUCAAGGGUCGUGCUAAGUUAGGUAGUGACCAGUGAUAGUGCAGAGAAGGUAUAAUGAGUACCUGCAAUAAACACAUGGGAUAUAUAUAAAUGAGAGACCUUUCUGAUGCUUAAACAGCUCUUCUUCAUGUAAAGAAAACCUAAGAAAAUCUGUAACUUAUCGCAUAUGUCUGACAAGGCUUGUUCAGCACUUUACUGUUCUAUGCCCCUUACCGUGCCUAUUCUACAUAGUAAUAGAUUGUUUUAAUUUAUUUUACUCUUUGGCCAGUGUUGCAACAAAAGGAAAAUAAGCCUCAUUGAAAAGCAAAUGUACACUGUAACAAAGAUGACCACAGCUAAACUGUACAUAGAAAGGGUAGUGAAAAAGUGCAAAAGAUUGUAAAUGUAUGCGUAGAAACUGGGGAAAAAGAAAAAGCAUGACAAAAUCAGUCAUUUGAGCAUUUCCUUGUCAUAGAGAAAGCAAGCUCCGUAAAUAGACAAAAGCAAUUGCUCUAGUAAAAUGAUGCCAUC
rnacentral:lncRNA from 7 species